rnacentral:rRNA from 1 species
AUUGAACGCUGGCGGCAGGCUUAACACAUGCAAGUCGAGCGGGGGAAGGUAGCUUGCUACCGGACCUAGCGGCGGACGGGUGAGUAAUGCUUAGGAAUCUGCCUAUUAGUGGGGGACAACAUCUCGAAAGGGAUGCUAAUACCGCAUACGUCCUACGGGAGAAAGCAGGGGAUCUUCGGACCUUGCGCUAAUAGAUGAGCCUAAGUCGGAUUAGCUAGUUGGUGGGGUAAAGGCCUACCAAGGCGACGAUCUGUAGCGGGUCUGAGAGGAUGGUCCGCCACACUGGGACUGGAAUACGGGCCAGACUCCUACGGGAGGGAGCAGUGGGGAAUAUGGGACAAUGGGGGGAACCCUGAUCCGGCCAUGCCGCGUGUGUGAAGAAGGCCUUAUGGUUGUAAAGCACUUUAAGCGAGGAGGAGGCUACUUUAGUUAAUACCUAGAGAUAGUGGACGUUACUCGCAGAAUAAGCACCGGCUAACUCUGUGCCAGCCGCCGCUGUAA